UUCCGGUUGAUCCUGCCGGACCUGACUGCUAUCGGAUUGAUACUAAGCCAUGCGAGUCAUUGUAGCAAUACAAGGCAUACGGCUCAGUAACGCGUAGUCAACCUAACCUAUGGACGGGAAUAACCUCGGGAAACUGAGAAUAAUGCCCGAUAGAACAUUAUGCCUGGAAUGGUUUAUGUUCCAAAUGAUUUAUCGCCGUAGGAUGGGACUGCGGCCUAUCAGUUUGUUGGUGAGGUAAUGGCCCACCAAGACUAUUACAGGUACGGGCUCUGAGAGGAGUAGCCCGGAGAUGGGUACUGAGACACGGACCCAGGCCCUAUGGGGCGCAGCAGGCGAGAAAACUUUGCAAUGUGCGAAAGCACGACAAGGUUAAUCCGAGUGGUUCCUGCUAAAGGAACCUUUUGUUAGUCCUAGAAACACUAACGAAUAAGGGGUGGGCAAGUUCUGGUGUCAGCCGCCGCGGUAAAACCAGCACCUCAAGUGGUCAGGAUGAUUAUUGGGCCUAAAGCAUCCGUAGCCGGCUCUGUAAGUUUUCGGUUAAAUCUGUACGCUUAACGUACAGGCUGCCGGGAAUACUGCAGAGCUAGGGAGUGGGAGAAGUAGACGGUACUCGGUAGGAAGUGGUAAAAUGCUUUGAUCUAUCGAUGACCACCUGUGGCGAAGGCGGUCUACUAGAACACGUCCGACGGUGAGGGAUGAAAGCUGGGGGAGCAAACCGGAUUAGAUACCCGGGUAGUCCCAGCUGUAAACUAUGCAAACUCAGUGAUGCAUUGGCUUGUGGCCAAUGCAGUGCUGCAGGGAAGCCGUUAAGUUUGCCGCCUGGGAAGUACGUACGCAAGUAUGAAACUUAAAGGAAUUGGCGGGGGAGCACCACAAGGGGUGAAGCCUGCGGUUCAAUUGGAGUCAACGCCGGG
rnacentral:rRNA from 1 species